rnacentral:tRNA from 1 species
GGUAAUAUGGUUCAGUGGUCUAAGGCACUGGAUUAAGGCUCCAGUCUCUUCCGGUGUGUGGGUUCAAAUCCCACCACUGCCA